rnacentral:rRNA from 1 species
UACGUAGGGAGCAAGCGUUAUCCGGAAUUAUUGGGUGUAAAGGGUGCGUAGACGGGAUAACAAGUUGGUUGUGUAACCCCUCGGCUCAACUGAGGAACUGCAACCAAAACUAUUAUUCUUGAGUGCAGGAGAGGAAAGUGGAAUUCCUAGUGUAGCGGUGAAAUGCGUAGAUAUUAGGAAGAACACCGGUGGCGAAGGCGACUUUCUGGACUGUAACUGACGUUGAGGCACGAAAGUGUGGGGAGCAAACAGG